UUACAAGUUCAGUGGCUAUGAUCGGAGUUUCAAUUGUAUUGUCAAUGCUCGCCAUCUUUAAGCACUAAAAACAUGAUGAUUGCACUUAUUUUCUUGUGGAUUUCAUGUAAGUAGACAAGUAAUAUUGACUUGUUCGGGUGCAUAAUGUUGUUUUGUGAUACAAUGAUGAUUGUUAGGAGUUAGGACUCUUAGCAGUUUAUCUAUGUAUUUUCAAGAGUGUAAGAUAUUUUACAGUAUUUCCUUUUACAUUUUAUUAUAUAUUGUAGGUGUUAAAGUAUAAUAAAAAGGACUUUGCUAUCCUUUGUCGAGUAAUUAUUAUUGUCAUGCAUAAAUAGUAGUUUUUCAUAUGAAAAACUAUGUCGCAAAUCACUUAUAUAACUCUAGCACUCGAAGUACCGACGUCUAGAGAAAAGAGUUUGUCGAACCACCAUUAAUGCAAUGCAAUUUAACUUUUCUUUAAGUUGCUGCUUUUUAAACUUUUAAGUCAUUUACUUACAUUUUUUUUACUUUUUAUGUCGAAAGAGAAUACAAAAAUUUGUCUUGUUCAUAAAGCAACCUAUGAAUAUGAUAAACAUUCAGACACUUUUUGAAAAAAACAUUGCACAAUAUAUCAUAGAAUUUCUAGUUUGAUGCUUCUUGUAAUAAUCAAAGUUAGUCUUCUUGUUUACCAAAUAUACCGGUAAACACUUCUUCACCUUGAGCUUAAGAAUUGCAUCUUUGUGUGCUUUUAUUUAUUUAUUUAAAAAGGAUAGAAAUUAAGAAAUAGAAUUUGUUAGAGAGCACGUGAGAAAAGAGAUUUUUUGGGUACACCUUUUUGGAUCAGAUCUUUUUAUAAUAUUAUUUAAAUUAUCAAUUAAAAAAAUAAUAAAAUUCAAUUAAAAUAGAAACAAUCUACAAUAAUAGAAGAAAGAAUCAAUAAGAAUAUGAACAAUAAUGAUAUGUUUUCUCUUAGUAGGGAAGAGUAUGGGGAGCGUGGAAGUGGCGGUGUAGGUUUGCGUGGGAGGAGGAUUUUGUGAGGGAAUCUAUGGAACUUUUAUCUUAUGUUGUCUUGUACGGUGACAUGGUGCAUAGGUGGAGUUAGCAGGCUCAAUCUUCUAAUAGGUACACAGUGAGCAGCGCAUAUCAGUAUCUGAUUGAUGCUUUUGGUCAUGACGUAAUUGUUACCGAUUAUAGUAAUUUUAGUCAUAUAUUAUGGUUAAAGGAUGUUUUGUUAAAGGUCUCUGUGUGCUUAAUUGGUGCCUACUACUUAAUCGACUUCCUACCAGAGAUAAUUUACUGAGAAGUGUGUAACACCCCAAUAUUUUAUACCUGUUCUUUUCUAUAAUUUUCUCAAUUUGUAAUUUAGAGUUCAAUAAUUUAUUAUAUGUGUAAAGAAUUUAAGAAAAACCUUGACAUUUUCUACUUUGUUAAUUAUUUAUAAUUGGCUUCCAUUUUUUAUUCAAACCAUUUAAUCUUUAUAAAUCAAUUUGGGGUGGAGAAAAUAAGAUAAUUAUUUCUUAAAUGUUUUUUUAUUCUAAUCAUUUAUUGCUGCAUUUUAAUUAGUGAUUUAUUUUAAAGUUAAAUUGUAUUAUAUAAAAUAUUAAAUUAGUUAUAUAUAUUAAUUAGUGUUUGGUUUAGACAUUGUGAUAUAUGUGUGUAUAUAUUAUAGUACACUAUUUUUUUUAAGGAAUCUUUACGGUACACAUCAUUUUGGUUGCCUAACUACCUAGACAAAUACAUUGCAUAUCGCCUCCUAAUUAUUAGGUGUAGUGGCCAUGCUUGGAGAGAAAUAAUAGCAUAGAAAACCAAUUAGUGGUUCAUAAAAUGCUCACAUAUAUUCUUGCUAUUACUUCAACAUCCUCAUCAAUUCUCAGCCUCACUCUUCCUGCUUUCUCUCUCUUGCAGCAGAAUUUUCCUAAGACCAGAAGCAAAUCUCCAUGCCCUGUUUCUUUUACAGCACGUUGGGUAUGUCAAGAUACAUGCUAUAUAUCUUUCCUUUUGUUUAGUCAAUUACCCCCUAAAAUUAACAAAAUGUCAAUUACCCCCUAAAGUUGCACAACGUUACUCAAUUUAUCCCAUCCGUCAAAUUUUUCCGUUAGUAAACAUGACGUUUUGCAAAUAGCCCCUGAGGUUUUACACUUAUGUGCAAAAUGUCCCCGAACUUAAAAACUUAUAUAUUUUUUUCUUAUCCUUAACUCAAAGAUAUUAAAGACAAGCAAUUAAGAGUUAACUUUAAUACUUUACAUGACUCUUUCAUUCUUAAAGGGGUCUGUUAUUUUAUUUUGUUUAUGUUAUGUCAUUUGGUUGUUCAAUUCUCCAUAAAUUAUGACUUAUUUAGAUAGAGACACGCCAAUUCACAACAAAGUAAGUUAGAGACACUCAUUCAUCAUGAAUAAUUAAUUCUACCAGUUUCUUAAGAUAGGUUUGAAUAAAAUUAUUCUAUCUUAAAAAUUGAACUAAACAUGCAUUUUGCUAAAGUAAUAUGAAGUUAUUAAUUAUGCGUUAUUUUUAGAGGAUAUAUUCUUAUUUUAAGCUUAAAUAUUAAAGUUAAUUGUUUCUCUUUAAUAUCUUUUGAAUCAAGAUAAGAAAAAAAAACAUAUAAAUUUUUAAGUUUGGGGGGCAUUUUGCACAUAAGUGCAAAACUUCAGGGGGUAUUUGCAAAAUUUCAUGUUCACUGAAAGAAGAAUUUGACGGAGGGGUAAAUUGAUUAACGUUGUGCAAUUUCAGGGGGGUAAUUGACAUUUUGUUAAUUUUAGGGGGGUAAUUGACGAAACUUACAAUUUCAGGGGGUAAUUGACUAUUUACUCAAUUUUAGAAUUUGAUUCUUGAAGCUUUGAGCAAAUGUAGAAGUUUUAUGGGAUUAGAGUGUGCUAUUAGGAAGGAAAACAUGCAAGGUAAGGGUUUUUUCCCCAUACGUUUUUACUAAGUGUUAGGACUGUGUUAUUAAAUAGUGGUAGCAAUUCUUGUCUUUUGAAAAGAAAAACAAUAAAAAUAUUUCUUAAUGUGGUAAAAUCUAAUAUUUUAUAAGAUUGAUUAUUUUAAUUGAGUCUUAUAUGAUAGUUGUGUAUGUUGUGAUGUGGAAUGAUAAUUGUAUUUUAUUUUAUUAUGUUUAUAUGUUUCUGUGAUGCUGAGAAAGUCAUGUGAUUUUGAUUAACUAAUGAAAAUGAAAAGAGAUGGAAAUGUGAGUUUGAUUGAAAAGACUAUUUUGGAUCAUGUUCUUGGUGAUGUGAGAUAUAUAAUUAUUUCUGUGUGGUGCCUUUGUGGCAGGUAAAUAUCAUAUUGCUUUGUUGUGCCUAAGUGGCGUGAUUUAGUCUUCAUUUUCAUGAUCAUGCAUUAGCAUAUGCAUCUGUGUGGUGCCUGUGUGGUGGGUUAUAUCCGGAUCAUGUAGUAUUUAAGAGCAUGCAUUUUACACAUCAUUGCAUUGGGUCUGUUAUACAUAUGUGUGUUGAUAAGUGAUUAAACUGUUAUAUAUACAACAGAAAUGUGUAUGAACUUUACCUUAAAACUUAAAUGUAUUUUUCUUAUUUCUUUUUGAUUGAGAAGUUUCGAUACUAUUUAUUUUAUGGCAUUGUUUCUUGUGCUUUGAGUAUGAACCAAUUUGGAUAAGGAAAUUGAUCCUUGCACUAAUAUUUUAGGUACCAAAGAAGAGAUUGUCUAUGCUUUGAAGUUUCUGCUUGAAGUGCGUACGGGGGACAAAUUGGGUUUUAAAUCGAAUUGUAAAUUUUAAAGGAUAUUUAUUUUAGGAAUUUUUAUUAAAUUAUGCUAAGAAUUUUGUAUAGAUUUUGCUAAGAAUUUAUUAUUGAUGAUAAAAAGAAAAUAGUAGUAGUUUUUCGAAAAAUGUGAAUGAAUAAGGCGUAAUGUCUUGGACCAAAAUCUGGGGCGUUACAACAUGUGUUGCCUAUUGAUGAGCAGCUUUGUACAGGAGGAUGCAGGUGUAAUAAGGAUAGAGAUAAUUUGUUUGUUUCUUGUGAUUUUUUCGGCGCCAUUUGGUAUUGUUAGUUUGUUUUAAUUCAAGUUUAGUUUAGUGAUAAUCACAAUCAAUGAUUAAUCACAUUUUGCUUUAGUUUGUUAUGAAGUAUGUUACAAGUUUGUUAGAGGUUAACAAAUAAGAUCUAGAGUUUGUUACAUUGCUUGUGCUUCAAGCAACCUAACUAGACAUUGUAUAUGAGCUACCUCCUUUGUAUAUUUUCAGAAGUAUUCAAUUUUUCAUCAUCUCUUCUCUCUUCCCAUUCUCUCUAAUUCACACAAAUUACCAAAACCCUAAAACUGAAAACCUGCUUAUGUUAUUGCUCGUGUAACAAGCAUCAGUUUGCUGCGCUAACAGGUAUGUUAUUUACUGUUGGUUGGGGAUUUCUUCGGCAUUUUCUCGGAAUUUAAUUGCGCAUCUAAACCAGUGUUGCGGCUUGGGAGGUUUCUCUAAAAAUAUGUGCUUAGUGUUCAAGAUGUUGUGGUUAGUGUUUGUUUCCAUCAUUUGGAAAGAGAGAAAUAAGCGUAUUUUCCAACAUAAGGAGGAGCAUAUUCUCUCCAUGGGCGAACAAGUUAAGUUUCUUGUGUUUUUGUGGUUUAAAUCAAAAUUAGCUUUAUUCAAUUUUGACUAGAAUUUUUGGAGGCAAAAUCCUAUGUUCUGUCAACCUUUUGUAACUUAGCUUAGCUCCUUGAUGUUCCUUGUUUUUGUUUUGUUUUCUUUGUCAAGUUUGUAAUUUGGACCUUUUAAGUCUUCCUUAGCACGCCUUGUGCUGGAUGAUUUCUUUUUUGCUGUAAUAUAUCAUUUUAGUCUCUUAAAAAAACUUUAAUUUAAUCAUAUUUGUUAAAAAUAAUUUGAGCAUAUAGAGGAUCGCAUUAUUUUAUGUCUUUCCGCUAAUAUCACAUAAAAAAAAAAAAAAAAAAAAAAAAAACAGAGAAAAAUGUUUUAUCUUUUUAUCUAGUGCAAAAACGCCCCCCAAUGAGCAUUGAUUUGUAAACAAAUUAGUGACAUAGAUGAAAAUGGCAAAAGUUAUGGUGCAUAAGUCAUUUCCUUAUGCACCGUGCAUAAACACAUUACAACCAUCAGAUUUCUUUCAUUUUGAACAAAAAUGGUUUUGGCUCACUUUGGGGGUGUAGGAAGCAAUUAUAUUGGGAUUUAUGCACGGUGCAUAAGGAUUUCCUUAUGCACCAUAACCACUCCCGAUAAAAAUAAUCUUCUCUAUUUUUCCCUCUUUCUUCUUAGUUUGAGGAUAUUGCAAAAAAUUGCAGGUCCACUAAUAUUUUUAUCUUUUCUAAACAAAACAAAAGUAACCUCUUUAUCUCCCCUAAAAAAACCUCUAUAUCUCUUUACAACUUCUCUUUCAACCCCACUCUCUCUACUUUAUUUCUCUUGAACUAAUUACAAGCUAAACUAUCCUUGAUAGCCACAAUUUUCAAUUACAUAUUGAGAAGGUGCAUGCUGUGCAAUCUAAAACCAAGAUCAUGCACCGAAAACAACUCACAUUAAGUUGUUGCCAUUAUUCAUACUUUUGUCAAAACAAUUUUUUUUUUCUCCAUGUGCAAUUGUUGUUUUGGAACCACCUCCACAUGCAUUUAUAUCUCUUUCAGCUACCAUAUAUGAAUUAUUGGUAAAUUACAGCAUCAAUACGUAGUAUAUUUUUGAGAGAGUAUCUAUUUAGUAGUAUAUAAAAAUAAUUCUCUCACAUUUUCAUCUCUUCCCUUCAAAUAAUUCUUUUAAAUAUGCUUAAAGUUCAUCAUGAUCAUGAGAAAGCUCAUACUUGAAUAGACUCAUCAGACGAAGUUGCUUCACUUCAGGGCCGUUUCUAAGUUUUUGGUGGCCUAGGGCGAACCUACCAUUUGGAUCAUAACUAAUAAAUAUAUAUAAACAUCAAAUUCGAUACAAAAAACUAAACAACUUUUUUUAGGGUCUAAUAGACCCCUAAAAAAAUAUUGGCCCCUAUAUUUCAUACUUAUUUUUUAGAGGUCUAGGACGGUCGCGCUCUUCGCCCUGCCUCAGAUACGGCCCUGCUUCACUUGUCUAAGUUGAUGUAUUACAGCCAGAGUCAUAACAGUUCGUAUGGUAAUCAUAUAAUAUAAUCAGAUGCUUAUUAUAUGUUUCUUCAUGUGCUAUUAUAGAAGAUACAGUUUUUAAAUCAUAUUUCUACACAUGAAACAAACUUUAGAAGAUAAACUGUUCUCUUAUACUUUUUUAUCAUCAAAACGAAAUUUGAGAGUCAUUGUUCUUCAAACCACUUUAAUUGGUUCAACAAUGCUUUCGAAUAAAAUUCUUAAUUUACAAUAGAGACUGCACUCAUCUGACCUAGUCCUCGACAACUCCAACUUACCAUUUUAAAAACUCCGAAUCGAAAGUAAUCCAACAAAAAAAAGACUACCGCAAUCGAUGAUGAGGUGAUCGAUUAAGAUAGGAAAAACAUUGUCAAAUGCAAAGAAAAACCACCAACAUUGGGUAGCCCUAGAGGAAUGUAUGACAAUACUCACACAAUGAUCAACCUCAAUAUGCCGACUCAUACACGAUUAUGCUUAACUCAGAGUUUCUAGUUUCUCAUAUCAAUAUGCAUAUGUUCGUAAUAAAAAUUAAAACAAAACACAUAACUAUGUUAAGCUCAAUUUCAUUAUAUCUUUGGCAACGUCACAUUAAUUCUUAACUUUCGUAGGCUAAAGAUAAAUCAAAACAGCCUUCAUAUUGAAGACAACUUACAUGUAGGGACGGAUUCUACGAGAAAGUAUCAAAGGGAAGUUCUUCAAAGAGUAGGAAGAGUUCAAGUCAAAUUUUAAAAUAUAAACGUGGGGUCUUAUUGCGGUUGAAUUCUUCAAAGAGAAAACAAUUAAGAAUAUGAUGAGUGUUAGAAACACUCUUUUUAAUACUCUUUCCAACACUCAUUCUUGUCGUUGGAAAAAAAUUUGUGUUUGGUGUGUUUAAUACAAUUUUAUGAAGCAGACACUUAAAAUAUGAUAUCCACAUUAAUUUCAAUCCGUAAGAGGUGAGUGUAGUAGAUUUUUUUUUAGAAGUGGAGUUUUAGGUAGUAGUCAAUAUGAUAUCUGAAUAUACAAUAACGUAACCAUAAUAUUCUUCAAUGUAUUAAGAUUUUAAAAUAGUCCUUAAUUAUGACUAAUUAUUACAAAUUCAAAGAUCGAAAUAACUACUACCAUAAUACUCUUCACUUAAGAAAAUAUAUCACAACCAAUCAUAUUCAUUGGUUGUUUAACUUUAACAAUAAUGAACAGCACACAACCUAUGGAAACAUCUAACGACUGACCCAUUCAUAUAAUAAAACGUCGGCAUAAUUGUUUCUCAAGCUGUCCACGUUAUUUUUGGGCCCCACGCGUCCCUCCAAUCUUAUAAAUAGUUAAAUAUUUCCACACCCUUUCACCACCAAUUCAACAACAUACACACUUUGCAUUGCUUCUUCUUGAUUCACAAUUUUCCACUGUUUUAAUUUUCAACUUUCUCUGUUUCUAUAUAUAGUGUUGCAAUGGCAUCAUCAAUGAAGUUUUUUGCCUUCUUUUUCGUCGUUAUCUUUGCUGCCUCCCUGGUGUCGGCUCAAGACCUCAGUCCCUCAUUGGCUCCAGCAUCAGGUCCUGAUGUCGGAGCUGCCGGAUCUGUUACAAGUUCAGUGGCCAUGAUCGGAGCUUCAAUUGUCUUGUCAAUGCUUGCACUCUUGAAGAACUAAAAACAUAGUCGUUAUUUUUGUUUUAUUCUGUGCUAGUGAUGAUUAUUAAUUGAUGAUCUAUAUAUACUUGAGAUCAGCGAGAGAAUAAUUUAAUUUCAAGAGUGUUUAUUUUCACAUUUCAUUAUUUAUUGUAGGUGUUAAGUCACAACAAAAAAGGAUUUUAUCAUCCUUGUGGAAGAAUUAUUAUUAGCAUAUUAUUCAUAUUUUUGUGUAAUAUAUAAACAAUGAUUUCCAGAUCAAAAGAAUAAAAAAUAAGCUAUGAUUUCUGCAAUUUUAUUCCUCGUUUUCCAUUUACUGGUAUUUUUUUCAAUAAAUUUUUUUACUUUUUAUUUGCCUAUCAGUUGUUGACUUCUCAGGAUAUCCCUCAUGUGGAAGGUGCAGCUGCGUUGGUUUGGCAUAAUCAUAUCCCGCUUAAUCUGGUUCAUCGUGGAAUCCUUUCAAACACCGUUGUUGGCUGUUUGUUAGGGUACUGCGGAGCUAUGGAGACUUCUCAGCAUUUAUUCAUUUCUUGUGAUUUUUAUGGAUCGUUGUGGUCUCAGGUUCGGGCUUGGCUUGGUGUUUCAGGACCCGACCCCUUUAUUGUUUCAGAUCAUUUUCUUCAGUUUACUCAUUAAGCAGGUGGUUUGCGAGCAAGACGCUCUUUUAUGCAGCUUGUUUGGUUGCUUUGUGCGUGGAUCAUAUGGAAUGACCGUAAUCAAAGACUGUUUAAUAAUGUAGGUAGUUCCAUUGAUCAGCUGUUGGAUAGUGUCAAGUGGCAUUCUCUGUGGUGGCUAAAAGCUAGUCAUGUCGUUUUUGUUUUUGGUUCUGAUUUGUGGUGGUUAAGACUCUUGGAUUGUUUGGGUCUUGGCUAAUUCUUGAUUGACAUUGUAUAUCUGUAAUUUUUUGGGGUCCCCAUGGUAUACCUUGUACUAGGGAGAGUCCUUGGUUUGUUAAUAUAAGCUCCAUUUUUUAUUGAUAAAAAAAAAUAAAAAAAAUAAACAAAGAGAAGUAUACAUAAUACUUAACAAACCAAGCAGGAGAAGUGCGAGCGGUACUCUGCCUAACAACCAACUAUAAAAAAACACCUAAAAAAGCAUACAAAGAAGAGGUUUCAAGAACCACUCAUAUUACAAACAAAGACCCCCUUUAUUUGUCCGUUGUAUGUAUUUCAACCUCUGUUGUUUCAACUAUGAUUUAUUUUUUUUAAAAGAAAUCAUUCAGUUAAAAUUAAAUUUAUUGAAUAGUUAGUUUAUGAUUGUUAUGGAGCAAUUCGACAUAUGUAGG
rnacentral:lncRNA from 1 species